rnacentral:ribozyme from 1 species
AAGAGGGCAACACCCAAGGAUUCCGAUGGAGGUUGCCACCUGGUAAUUUCUCUUGGAAUCCCGUUUGUUGUUUGAUAUCUUCUCUCUUCUGUCGUCCAACCCGUCGUCGCCACCAUG